rnacentral:rRNA from 1 species
GAUGAACGCUGGCGGCGUGCCUAAUACAUGCGAGUCGAGCGAACAGACGAGGAGCUUGCUCCUCUGACGUUAGCGGCGGACGGGUGAGUAACACGUGGAUAACCUACCUAUAAGACUGGGAUAACUUCGGGAAACCGGAGCUAAUACCGGAUAAUAUAUUGAACCGCAUGGUUCAAUAGUGAAAGACGGUUUUGCUGUCACUUAUAGAUGGAUCCGCGCUGCAUUAGCUAGUUGGUAAGGUAACGGCUUACCAAGGCGACGAUGCGUAGCCGACCUGAGAGGGUGAUCGGCCACACUGGAACUGAGACACGGUCCAGACUCCUACGGGAGGCAGCAGUAGGGAAUCUUCCGCAAUGGGCGAAAGCCUGACGGAGCAACGCCGCGUGAGUGAUGAAGGUCUUCGGAUCGUAAAACUCUGUUAUUAGGGAAGAACAAAUGUGUAAGUAACUAUGCACGUCUUGACGGUACCUAAUCAGAAAGCCACGGCUAACUACGUG